rnacentral:rRNA from 1 species
GGUUAAGCGACUAAGCGUACACGGUGGAUGCCCUGGCAGUCAGAGGCGAUGAAGGACGUGCUAAUCUGCGAUAAGCGUCGGUAAGGUGAUAUGAACCGUUAUAACCGGCGAUUUCCGAAUGGGGAAACCCAGUGUGAUUCGUCACACUAUCAUUAACUGAAUCCAUAGGUUAAUGAGGCGAACCGGGGGAACUGAAACAUCUAAGUACCCCGAGGAAAAGAAAUCAACCGAGAUUCCCCCAGUAGCGGCGAGCGAACGGGGAGCAGCCCAGAGCCUGAAUCAGUGUGUGUGUUAGUGGAAGCGUCUGGAAAGGCGCGCGAUACAGGGUGACAGCCCCGUACACAAAAAUGCACAUGCUGUGAGCUCGAUGAGUAGGGCGGGACACGUGGUAUCCUGUCUGAAUAUGGGGGGACCAUCCUCCAAGGCUAAAUACUCCUGACUGACCGAUAGUGAACCAGUACCGUGAGGGAAAGGCGAAAAGAACCCCGGCGAGGGGAGUGAAAAAGAACCUGAAACCGUGUACGUACAAGCAGUGGGAGCACGCUUAGGCGUGUGACUGCGUACCUUUUGUAUAAUGGGUCAGCGACUUAUAUUCUGUAGCAAGGUUAACCGAAUAGGGGAGCCGAAGGGAAACCGAGUCUUAACUGGGCGUUAAGUUGCAGGGUAUAGACCCGAAACCCGGUGAUCUAGCCAUGGGCAGGUUGAAGGUUGGGUAACACUAACUGGAGGACCGAACCGACUAAUGUUGAAAAAUUAGCGGAUGACUUGUGGCUGGGGGUGAAAGGCCAAUCAAACCGGGAGAUAGCUGGUUCUCCCCGAAAGCUAUUUAGGUAGCGCCUCGUGAAUUCAUCUCCGGGGGUAGAGCACUGUUUCGGCAAGGGGGUCAUCCCGACUUACCAACCCGAUGCAAACUGCGAAUACCGGAGAAUGUUAUCACGGGAGACACACGGCGGGUGCUAACGUCCGUCGUGAAGAGGGAAACAACCCAGACCGCCAGCUAAGGUCCCAAAGUCAUGGUUAAGUGGGAAACGAUGUGGGAAGGCCCAGACAGCCAGGAUGUUGGCUUAGAAGCAGCCAUCAUUUAAAGAAAGCGUAAUAGCUCACUGGUCGAGUCGGCCUGCGCGGAAGAUGUAACGGGGCUAAACCAUGCACCGAAGCUGCGGCAGCGACGCUUAUGCGUUGUUGGGUAGGGGAGCGUUCUGUAAGCCUGCGAAGGUGUGCUGUGAGGCAUGCUGGAGGUAUCAGAAGUGCGAAUGCUGACAUAAGUAACGAUAAAGCGGGUGAAAAGCCCGCUCGCCGGAAGACCAAGGGUUCCUGUCCAACGUUAAUCGGGGCAGGGUGAGUCGACCCCUAAGGCGAGGCCGAAAGGCGUAGUCGAUGGGAAACAGGUUAAUAUUCCUGUACUUGGUGUUACUGCGAAGGGGGGACGGAGAAGGCUAUGUUGGCCGGGCGACGGUUGUCCCGGUUUAAGCGUGUAGGCUGGUUUUCCAGGCAAAUCCGGAAAAUCAAGGCUGAGGCGUGAUGACGAGGCACUACGGUGCUGAAGCAACAAAUGCCCUGCUUCCAGGAAAAGCCUCUAAGCAUCAGGUAACAUCAAAUCGUACCCCAAACCGACACAGGUGGUCAGGUAGAGAAUACCAAGGCGCUUGAGAGAACUCGGGUGAAGGAACUAGGCAAAAUGGUGCCGUAACUUCGGGAGAAGGCACGCUGAUAUGUAGGUGAAGUCCCUCGCGGAUGGAGCUGAAAUCAGUCGAAGAUACCAGCUGGCUGCAACUGUUUAUUAAAAACACAGCACUGUGCAAACACGAAAGUGGACGUAUACGGUGUGACGCCUGCCCGGUGCCGGAAGGUUAAUUGAUGGGGUUAGCGCAAGCGAAGCUCUUGAUCGAAGCCCCGGUAAACGGCGGCCGUAACUAUAACGGUCCUAAGGUAGCGAAAUUCCUUGUCGGGUAAGUUCCGACCUGCACGAAUGGCGUAAUGAUGGCCAGGCUGUCUCCACCCGAGACUCAGUGAAAUUGAACUCGCUGUGAAGAUGCAGUGUACCCGCGGCAAGACGGAAAGACCCCGUGAACCUUUACUAUAGCUUGACACUGAACAUUGAGCCUUGAUGUGUAGGAUAGGUGGGAGGCUUUGAAGUGUGGACGCCAGUCUGCAUGGAGCCGACCUUGAAAUACCACCCUUUAAUGUUUGAUGUUCUAACGUUGACCCGUGAUCCGGGUUGCGGACAGUGUCUGGUGGGUAGUUUGACUGGGGCGGUCUCCUCCUAAAGAGUAACGGAGGAGCACGAAGGUUGGCUAAUCCUGGUCGGACAUCAGGAGGUUAGUGCAAUGGCAUAAGCCAGCUUGACUGCGAGCGUGACGGCGCGAGCAGGUGCGAAAGCAGGUCAUAGUGAUCCGGUGGUUCUGAAUGGAAGGGCCAUCGCUCAACGGAUAAAAGGUACUCCGGGGAUAACAGGCUGAUACCGCCCAAGAGUUCAUAUCGACGGCGGUGUUUGGCACCUCGAUGUCGGCUCAUCACAUCCUGGGGCUGAAGUAGGUCCCAAGGGUAUGGCUGUUCGCCAUUUAAAGUGGUACGCGAGCUGGGUUUAGAACGUCGUGAGACAGUUCGGUCCCUAUCUGCCGUGGGCGCUGGAGAACUGAGGGGGGCUGCUCCUAGUACGAGAGGACCGGAGUGGACGCAUCACUGGUGUUCGGGUUGUCAUGCCAAUGGCACUGCCCGGUAGCUAAAUGCGGAAGAGAUAAGUGCUGAAAGCAUCUAAGCACGAAACUUGCCCCGAGAUGAGUUCUCCCUGACCCUUUAAGGGUCCUGAAGGAACGUUGAAGACGACGACGUUGAUAGGCCGGGUGUGUAAGCGCAGCGAUGCGUUGAGCUAACCGGUACUAAUGAACCGUGAGGCUUAACCUU